rnacentral:rRNA from 1 species
GAUGAACGCUGGCGGCGUGCCUAAUACAUGCAAGUCGAGCGAACAGACGAUGAGCUUGCUCCUCUGACGUUAGCGGCGGACGGGUGAGUAACACGUGGAUAACCUACCUCUAAUACUGGGAUAACUUCGGGAAACCGGAGCUAAUACCGGAUAAUAUAUUGAACCGCAUGGUUCAAUAGUGAAAGACGGUUUUGCUGUCACUUAUAGAUGGAUCCGCGCCGCAUUAGCUAGUUGGUAAGGUAACGGCUUACCAAGGCAACGAUGCGUAGCCGACCUGAGAGGGUGAUCGGCCACACUGGAACUGAGACACGGUCCAGACUCCUACGGGAGGCAGCAGUAGGGAAUCUUCGGCAAUGGGCGAAAGCCUGACGGAGCAACGCCGCGUGAGUGAUGAAGGUCUUCGGAUCGUAAAACUCUGUUAUUAGGGAAGAACAAAUGUGUAAGUAACUAUGCACGUCUUGACGGUACCUAAUCAGAAAGCCACGGCUAACUACGUG